GGGUCGCAUGAAGACAGCUGAAGACUUUUCUCAAUGAUGUAAGUGGUGGUGCAUGGUCGUUCUUAGUUCGUGGAGUGAUUUGUCUGGUCUAUUCCGAUAACGAGCGAGACCCCAACGUUCCUACUAGGGGCGGUAGCCCGGCCGGCCGCAAGGCCGGCUAGCUGCCGCCUCAACCAAAGCUUCUUAGACGUAUCAGAGCCGACAAGGUUCUUGAAAUGGGUUAAUAACAGGUCAGUCAUGCCCUUAGAUGUUCUGGGCCGCACGCGCGUUACAAUGGCACACAAAGAAAGUGCCCUCAAGGGCGUCCCCGCGGCCUACCGGCCGUGGUAACCCCUAAUCUCUGCCCUGACUGGGACAGACUAUUGCAAUUAUUGGUCUCAAACGAGGAAUUUUUAGUAGUCGCAGGUCAUUAACCUGCGACGAAUGCGUCCCUGCCCUUUGUACACACCGCCCGUCGUGUUCA
rnacentral:rRNA from 1 species